rnacentral:rRNA from 1 species
UGGUGGAGUGAUUUGUCUGGUUAAUUCCGUUAACGAACGAGACCUUAGCCUACUAACUAGUCGGGCAGAUCUCCGAUAUGUCACGACUUCUUAGAGGGACUUUGUGGAUUCAAACACAAGGAAGUUUGAGGCAAUAACA